rnacentral:rRNA from 1 species
GAUGAACGCUGGCGGCGUGCCUAAUACAUGCAAGUCGAGCGAACGGACGAGAAGCUUGCUUUUCUGAUGUUAGCGGCGGACGGGUGAGUAACACGUGGAUAACCUACCUAUAAGACUGGGAUAACUUCGGGAAACCGGAGCUAAUACCGGAUAAUAUUUUGAACCGCAUGGUUCAAAAGUGAAAGACGGUCUUGCUGUCACUUAUAGAUGGAUCCGCGCUGCAUUAGCUAGUUGGUAAGGUAACGGCUUACCAAGGCAACGAUGCAUAGCCGACCUGAGAGGGUGAUCGGCCACACUGGAACUGGGACACGGUCCAGACUCCUACGGGAGGCAGCAGUAGGGAAUCUUCCGCAAUGGGCGAAAGCCAGACGCAGCAACGCCGCGUGGGUGAUGAAGGUAUUGGGAUCGUAAAACUCUGCUAUUAGGGAAGAACAUAUGUGUAAGUAACUGAGCAAAUCUUGACGGUACCUAAUCAGAAAGCCACGGCUAACUACGUG